rfam:Yokenella regensburgei ATCC 43003 genomic scaffold Scfld157, whole genome shotgun sequence.
GAAACUUUAGGUUGUCUCCCCUCCGGGAGCCACGGCACACGAAACCGCGUUGGUUCUUUAUUUUCAGGUCGGUUUCGUGUGCUGCAUUUUUGACGCAUUCAUUUAUUGGUAUCGCAUGAACCCCAUCGUAAUUAAUCGGCUUCAACGGAAGCUGGGCUACACUUUUCAUC